rnacentral:rRNA from 1 species
CAGGACGAACCGCUGGCGGGCGUCCCUUAUACAUGCAAGUCGAACGCACAGACAACGGAACUUGUUCCGUUAGACGUGAGUGGCGCACGGGUGAGUAACACGUGGGAAACCUACCCUUCAGCGGGGGAUAACCGUCGGAAACGAUGGCUAAUACCGCAUAGUACUUUGAACCACCUGGUUUAAAGAGGAAAGACGGCUUCGGCUGUCACUGAAGGAUGGUCCUGCGGUGCAUUAGCUAGUUGGUAAGGUAACGGCUUACCAAGGCGAUGAUGCAUAGCCGACCUGAGAGGGUGAUCGGCCACAUUGGGACUGAGACACGGCCCAAACUCCUACGGGAGGCAGCAGUAGGGAAUCUUCCGCAAUGGACGCAAGUCUGACGGAGCAACGCCGCGUGUGUGAAGAAGGUCUUCGGAUCGUAAAGCACUGUUAUUAGAGAAGAACAACCGGUAGAGUAACUGUUACCGGCUUGACGGUAUCUAACCAGAAAGCCACGGCUAACUACGUGCCAGCAGCCGCGGUAAUACGUAGGUGGCAAGCGUUGUCCGGAUUUAUUGGGCGUAAAGGGAGCGCAGGUGGUGAUUUAAGUCUGAUGUGAAAGCCCACGGCUCAACCGUGGAAGGUCAUUGGAAACUGGAUCACUUGAGUGCAGAAGAGGAAAGUGGAAUUCCAUGUGUAGCGGUGAAAUGCGUAGAUAUAUGGAGGAACACCAGUGGCGAAGGCGACUUUCUGGUCUGUAACUGACACUGAGGCUCGAAAGCGUGGGGAGCAAACAGGAUUAGAUACCCUGGUAGUCCACGCCGUAAACGAUGGAUAACUCGCGGUGGGCGAUACACAGUCGGUGGCCAAGCGAAAGCAUUAAGUUAUCCACCUGGGGAGUACGACCGCAAGGUUGAAACUCAAAGGAAUUGACGGGGGCCCGCACAAGCGGUGGAGCAUGUGGUUUAAUUCGAUGCAACGCGCAGAACCUUACCAGGGUUUGACAUGGAAUCGCCGCAGCGAGAGAUCGCUGUUUAGUGUUUACACUACGGUUCACACAGGUGCUGCAUGGCUGUCGUCAGCUCGUGUCGUGAGAUGUUGGGUUAAGUCCCGCAACGAGCGCAACCCAUAUUUCUAGUUGCUACUCGCAAGAGAGCUCUCUAGAGAGACUGCCGGGGACAACCCGGAGGAAGGUGUGGAUGACGUCAAGUCCUCAUGGCCCUUACAUCCUGGGCUACACACGUGCUACAAUGGUCGGUACAAAGGGCAGCAAAACCGUGAGGUGGAGCGAAUCCUCAAAGCCGGCCUCAGUUCGGAUUGGAGUCCGCAACUCGACUCCAUGAAGCUGGAAUCGCUAGUAAUCGUGGGUCAGCAUACCACGGUGAAUACGUUCCCGGGCCUUGUACACACCGCCCGUCA